CGGGGUGAGUGGCAGACGGGUGAGUAACGCGUGGGAACGUGCCCUUCAGUUCGGAAUAACCCAGGGAAACUUGGGCUAAUACCGGAUACGUGCGAGAGCAGAAAGAUUUAUCGCUGAAGGAUCGGCCCGCGUCUGAUUAGCUAGUUGGUGGGGUAAUGGCCCACCAAGGCGACGAUCAGUAGCUGGUCUGAGAGGAUGAUCAGCCACAUUGGGACUGAGACACGGCCCAAACUCCUACGGGAGGCAGCAGUGGGGAAUAUUGGACAAUGGGCGCAAGCCUGAUCCAGCCAUGCCGCGUGAGUGAUGAAGGCCUUAGGGUUGUAAAGCUCUUUCGUCCGGGACGAUAAUGACGGUACCGGAAGAAGAAGCCCCGGCUAACUUCGUGCCAGCAGCCGCGGUAAUACGAAGGGGGCUAGCGUUGUUCGGAAUCACUGGGCGUAAAGGGCGCGUAGGCGGCUUUGUAAGUCGGGGGUGAAAGCCUGUGGCUCAACCACAGAAUUGCCUUCGAUACUGCAUGGCUUGAGACCGGAAGAGGUAAGUGGAACUGCGAGUGUAG
rnacentral:rRNA from 1 species